rnacentral:rRNA from 1 species
UACGGGGGGGUCAAGCGUUGUUCGGAAUUACUGGGCGUAAAGGGCUCGUAGGCGGCCAACUAAGUCAGACGUGAAAUCCCUCGGCUUAACCGGGAACUGCAUCUGAUACUGGAUGGCUUGAGUUCGGGAGAGGGAUGCGGAAUUCCAGGUGUAGCGGUGAAAUGCGUAGAUAUCUGGAGGAACACCGGUGGCGAAGGCGGCAUCCUGGACCGACACUGACGCUGAGGAGCGAAAGCCAGGGGAGCAAACGGG